UGGGGAAUUUUCCGCAAUGGGCGAAAGCCUGACGGAGCAAUACCGCGUAAGGGAGGAAGGCUCUUGGGUUGUAAGCCUCAAAACUUAGGGAAGAAAAAAAUGACGGUACCUAAUGUAAGCAUCGGCUAACUCCGUGCCAGCAGCCGCGGUAAUACGGAGGAUGCAAGCGUUAUCCGGAAUCAUUGGGCGUAAAGAGUCCGUAGGUGGCACUUCAAGUCUGCUUUCAAAGACCGGAGCUCAACUUCGGAAAGGGAGUGGAAACUGAAGAGCUAGAGUAUAGUAGGGGUAGAGGGAAUUCCUAGUGUAGCGGUGAAAUGCGUAGAGAUUAGGAAGAACACCAGUGGCGAAGGCGCUCUACUGGGCAUAUACUGACACUGAGGGACGAAAGCUAGGGGAGCGAAAGGGAUUAGAUACCCCUGUAGU
rnacentral:rRNA from 1 species